rnacentral:rRNA from 1 species
CGGUAGCCGUCUGUUAGUUAGGUGUGAAAAGCACGCUCACUGGGAGUGCGCUUAUACUGCAGCUGAGUGCGGGAGAGGGAAGUGGAAUUCCCGGUGUAGCGUGAAAUGCGUAGAUAUCGGGAGGAACACCAGUGGCGAGGCGGCUUCCUGGACCGCAACUGACGCUGAGGCGCGAAAGCUGGGGGAGCAAACAGGAUAGAUACCCUGGUAGUCCCAGCCGUAAACGAUGGAUGCUAGGUGUGGGAGGUAUCGACCCCUUCCGUGCCGGAGCGAACGCAAUAAGCAUCCCGCCUGGGGAGUACGGCCGCAAGGCUGAAACUCAAAGGAAUUGACGGGGGCCCGCACAAGCGGUGGAGCAUGUGGUUUAAUUCGAAGCAACGCGAAGAACCUUACCAGGGCUUGACAUGUGCGGAACGGGGUAGAGAUACCCUGGUGCCCGAUGAGGGAGCCGCAAGACAGGUGGUGCAUGGCUGUCGUCAGCUCGUGUCGUGAGGUGUCGGCUUAAGUGCCGUAACGAGCGCAACCCUCAUCCCUAAUUGCUCCUGACAGGUAAAAGGGUCAGAGCACAAUAGGGAGACCGCUGGCGAAGAGCCAGAGGAAGGGGAGGAUGACGUCAAGUCAGCAUGGCCUUUAUGCCCUGGGCUACACACAUGCUACAAUGCAGGGUACAACGGGAAGCGAAGCCGCGAGGUGGAGCAAAUCCCCAAAAGCCCUGCUCAGUUCGGAUCGCACGCUGCAAUUCGCGUGCGUGAAGUCGGAGUCGCUAGUAACCGUGGAUCAGCAAAGCCGCGGUGAAUACGUUCUCGGGCCUUGCACACACCGCCCGUCAAGCCACCCGAGUCGGGUUCACCAGAAGGCCGGUAACCGAAGAGGGCCGGACGACGGUGUGCCUGGUAAGGAGGGCUAAGUCGUAACAAGGUAACCGUAAAU